AUCCAGCUGACGAGUUCCGAAUUGAACGAAACGCGUGUCCUGGAU
rnacentral:hammerhead_ribozyme from 1 species